CAGAGAAUAGUUUAAUUCAGAAUGCUAGCUUUGGGAGUUAGUGGUGGAGGUUUAAGUCCUUCUUUUCUGA
rnacentral:tRNA from 1 species